rnacentral:rRNA from 1 species
UACGUAGGGGGCAAGCGUUGUCCGGAAUCAUUGGGCGUAAAGCGCGUGUAGGCGGUUCGGUAAGUCUGCUGUGAAAGUCCAGGGCUCAACCCUGGGAUGCCGGUGGAUACUGUCGGACUAGAGUACGGAAGAGGCGAGUGGAAUUCCCGGUGUAGCGGUGAAAUGCGCAGAUAUCGGGAGGAACACCAAUUGCGAAGGCAGCUCGCUGGGACGUCACUGACGCUGAGACGCGAAAGCGUGGGGAGCGAUCCGG